CCCUACGGGACGCAGCAGUCGAGAAUUUUUCCCAGUUGUGGAGACCCUGAUGGUGCGACGCCGCGUGGGGGAAUGAAGGUCUUCGGAUUGUAAACCCCUGUCAUGUGGGAGCAAAUUAAAAAGAUAGUACCACAAGAGGAAGAGACGGCUAACUCUGUGCCAGCAGCCGCGGUAAUACAGAGGUCUCAAGCGUUGUUCGGAAUCACUGGGCGUAAAGCGUGCGUAGGCUGUUUAGUAAGUCGUGUGUGAAAGGCGCGGGCUCAACCCGCGGACGGCACAUGAUACUGCGAGCCUAGAGUAAUGGG
rnacentral:rRNA from 1 species